rnacentral:rRNA from 1 species
ACUCCUACGGGAGGCAGCAGUGGGGAAUAUUGCACAAUGGGCGCAAGCCUGAUGCAGCCAUGCCGCGUGUAUGAAGAAGGCCUUCGGGUUGUAAAGUACUUUCAGCAGUGAGGAAGGUGGAUGCAGUUAAUAGCGUAUUCAUUUGACGUUAGCUGCAGAAGAAGCACCGGCUAACUCCGUGCCAGCAGCCGCGGUAAUACGGAGGGUGCGAGCGUUAAUCGGAAUUACUGGGCGUAAAGCGCAUGCAGGUGGUUUGUUAAGUCAGAUGUGAAAGCCCGGGGCUCAACCUCGGAAUAGCAUUUGAAACUGGCAGACUAGAGUACUGGUAGAGGGGUAGAAUUUCAGGUGGUAGCGGUGAAAUGCGUAGAGAUCUGAAGGAAU